UACGUAGGGUGCAAGCGUUGUCCGGAAUUAUUGGGCGUAGAGAGCUCGUAGGCGGUUUGUCACGUCGGCCGUGAAAACUCGGGGCUCAACCCCGAGCCUGCGGUCGAUACGGGCAGACUAGAGUGCUGUAGGGGAGACUGGAAUUCCUGGUGUAGCGGUGAAAUGCGCAGAUAUCAGGAGGAACACCGGUGGCGAAGGCGGGUCUCUGGGCAGUAACUGACGCUGAGGAGCGAAAGCGUGGGGAGCGAACAGG
rnacentral:rRNA from 1 species